CACCACUAGGAGACAAAAGGAGAUGAGAACAAGAUGUCAGAACAGUGAAAGGAAAGACCCCCUCCGCUUUCUCCAGAACAAUUCUUUACAGGAGACCCAAGGCUCCCAUGGAAAACGGCAUCCCCAUAUCCAGGUCUAGCCUGCGUCUCAACAUCAUCACACUCAAGAGGUUUUCUUCUAUGCAUGAAUGGCUAGCAAGUGUAGGGAAAUUCAGGUGAUCACACCAUCCAGUAUGUUUUAUAUAUGAAUGAUUUUAUUUCCCAGUCCCUACUGUGGCUAGACUUGAGAGGGCUGCUCCCAGUGCAAAGUGCUUAGCUUUCCUCUAGUCCUGAAGAUUAGGCUUAAUGAGACAGGAGUGGGAAGAACAACUAUACACCAGAUUUCUGUUUUGGUGGCAGCCCUGUGUGUGUUGAGCAGUACACAGAAACACAUCCUGAUUGAUACAUUUACUGCAUUUAUUUUGGCGCGCACACUACCCUAUUCGUUGAGGUUAGGGUACAUGAUCAUAAAUGAACACAGAGGAGAUAGAUAUACAAAGAGAGUACCCAGACACUAAAGAGAAGGCCAAAGACAGCAUGGUGUCAUGAUCUGAGAGUUGGGCCAGGACUCCCAACAGACCAGGGUUCAAAUUCCUGCUCAGCAGUGGAAACCCACUGGGUGACCCUGGGCAUGUCAUAAUCUCUCAUCCUUAGGCGCAAGCGAUGACAAACCUCCAAAUAAACAUUGUCAAGAAAACCCUAGGAAAGGGUCACUUUAAAGUUGGAAAUGACUUGAAGGGACACAACAACAACAAAAAAGGAGGAGGUAUUAUUUUUUGUGAAGUGACUAAACUACCUACAUUCCUUAUUGAAGACAUCAGACAAACAAUCUACUGAUAAAUUCCGAAUAGGCAACCUCAGGCCACUGAAGUGAUUAUAAAGUUCUAAUGAAAUAUACAACUUAUUUAAUGUGUUCUACUCCAGCUUUUUCUGGAAUAUAGAGAAGCACUUCUAGCCUGACUAGCCUUCAGCAGAGCCAGGCCACAGAAGACAUCAACAUCUUACCUUGCUAGGUUUGUCACUCUGGGGAUCAAAGACCUUUUCGCAAAGCCUCAGGCCUGUUUCUUGCCUCAGCUGCUGCAAGUAUGCUCUCAUCACCUCUGAAAACAGAAAGAAUCACAGCCAGCUAAGACCAUAAGAUCAUAUUCAGGUACGUUUUGUUCCCUUCCUCAUAUGAAAACCCCCUACAGCGUAACACAGUAGGUUAUGUGUUGGCUUAAAUCAACAAACACACAGUGUCUGAUGGCACUUCAGGAGAACUGAAACACAAAUGCUUAGAUGCAGAUAAUGUGAAUCAGUGCGGGAGUGCUGAUCUUGAAAGGUUUCCCUGCGCAAACCAAUGGGGCAAGCCAAACGUGUUCCUUUGCACACAUGGUUCUGCUCCUCCCAUCAGACUGAACUGAACAGCCCAUAUCUACAGGAGACAUAUAAAGCACACUUAGACCCACAGUUGAGAUCUCAUGUUGGUAGAAUGGAAAGAGGAUCAGCUACACAGAAAAUGAAGCUGCAGAGAAAUUGCAGGCAAGGCUACCUUGUUCACUCCUAUUUAUACUCUGAGGGCAAGAGCAUAACCAACAUAACACAAGUAUGCAGAUCCUAUGCCUCUAGAAUAGGUCCCAGUGAGGUAAAUAUAUUUAAAAUCGAGCUGUUAGCUGCUUACUCCAUCAGUUCAAAUCUGUGGUCCUCAUUGCUACAUCCCUCUUACCUUCUUCUUGCUUGUUUAUGGGUCUGGCAUAGAGAGCGUUCAGUGGGAAUCCUGGCUCUCCGGGGAUAGGAAAAUUAGUGAUUCCUAAUGUAUACAUUUCUUUUUCUCCUUGGCCUCUGGAAUUACACUGGAGGCAAAAGAAAAUGUAAGCAAGUGUGUCCCAUUGAAGAGAAGAAGAAAACAAACUACAUCAAAAUCCACAGGUGGCCAAGAUCUCUGAUAGGACCCAUUACAGUUUCACAUUGAUGUCCAAGCUUUCACGUUCUCCAGAAAUCUUUGUCAGGGCAAUGAAAGGAGAAAAAGCAGAUGGGAACAUUGGGAAACAGCAGUGGCAGAAUUGGUACAUGUGAAUUUGAGGAAGACCUGGAAUUCAAUCCCUGGAAUUUCCAGGGAGGAGGGUGAGUAACGGCAAGAUACCUUAAAGGAUUCCACCAUAAACUGGGAAUCAACAAGGAAGACACCACAGACUCGGAACUCCCACUGCUGCAGCUGCUCUACAAACUGCUUCAUCACUGGUAAAUGGGUAUAGAGUUCAAUCUGACCUGAGGAGCACAUACACAUUUAAGACAAAGUGAGUAUCAAAAACAUCCACUUUUCUCCCAUGGUGGGAGGUAAAACAGCUUGUGUGUGUGCGGUGUGUGCCUUCAAGUUGUUUCUGAAAUCGUCACGAAGAAGACCCUUUUGUUUCCUCACCAGACAUGCCUCUGGAGGUGCAGAACCAAAAGAAGGUCUCAUCUCCUCCAGAUUUCUAAGUCUGGAAUUGGUGUACUGUAUACUUUCUUUCAUAUAGCUUGGAUCCGAGUCAGAUCCAAGAACUACGGCUUGCCAGAAAGAUAAUAGCCCCAAUGGCCACUGCCUUUGUGGGAACCUUGUCUGGGGAUGAUGAGAGUUGUAGUCCAAUACAUCUGGAGGUCUGUCAGGUUUGGGGAAGAUGAUGCUAAGCUGUGUACAGUCAGCCCUCCGUAUCCACAGAUUUUUUAUGCCUGUAUUCAAGCAUCCACAGUUUGAAAAUAGUUUUAAAAUAUCUAAGUUCUAAAAGCAACCCAUGAUUCUGCCAUUAUAUAUAAGGAACACCAUGUUACUGUGCCACUGUAUAUAAAGGGACUUGAGC